rnacentral:scRNA from 1 species
GGUUUCUACGGCCAGUACCGGGGCGAAAAGAA